ACGUCAAAAUUGAUUAACAAAAAGUCAAUGAAUCAUUCUACCAAUUGACUUGUACUUUGAAGCUUUGAUUUGAACCUGUCAAUUGGUAUCAAAGCUUCUAAAUCUUUGAAGCUCUGAUACCAAAUGAUGGAAUCAAAUUAAAGCUUCAAGGUAGUAGUCAUCUUGGCAGAGAAAAGAAAAAGCACUUCGAGUUUACCAUCUUGAU